rnacentral:lncRNA from 1 species
AUCUGAAUGACCAUAUUGGGGACCACAUGGUUUGGCUUCUAGGUACACAUAUGUGGGCAUUUCCUGUAGAAGCUGCUUUUCCUGAAUAAUGAGCUAUUUGAAACUGAAAUAUGCUUACCUCUUGUCAUCACUGAGAUGUUGACAUAAGGGUGUCUUUUAUUCCAAGUAUUCCAAGUAGUUACAUGGAAAUAAACCCUCCCUUUCUUUUGAGUAUUUGGCCUGAAAGUCCAGUUUAACAGCCCAUUCCUAGACACUGGGGAUAUAUAAGGUGAAAUGUCCAGCUGUUAAGUGAAUUGGUAUGGUAUGGUGGCUAGUUCCAAAUGAAAUGGCUAAGCUUCACCCCUUUGAACACUCAACUUCUCAGGGAGUGAAAAUGCUGGAACUAGGAUUUGCAGAUCCAGAGACUAAAACGUGACUUUAAAUCAGACUGACUGCAUCUGCCCAUUUUGAUGGUGAAGACCCCGUGGGAAAGACUUUUUGAUAAAUGAACAGGCAUUAGUCUUAUGACAUUUCUCCAACAUCCUGCAGUCAUCUUGAUGGCCACACCUCACUUUUCUUUACUGUCUGCUACUCCUUUGCUUCACUAAAAGCAGAAAAGGUGAAUAAUUUUCAUUCCAAGGU